UAAUAGUGCCAUGGGCUCAGUCGUGUCUGACUCUGCAGCCCGUGGUCUAUAAUCCUGCCAGGUCCUUCUGUCUAUGAAAUUCUCCAGGCAAGAAUAUUGGAGUGGAUUGCCAUUUCCUACUCCAAAGGAUCUUCCUGGCCCAGGGGUUGAACCCAAAUCUGUAUUGACAGGCGGAUUCUUUACCACUGGGGCACCUGGGAAGCUCAGCUUGCUUAAUAAUGAACUGCCUCACCAAUCAAGCUGGCUUUAGUUAGUUUUUUUUUUAACCAAACCUUGCCUGUAGAUCAGGCCUCAGCACUGGGCUUUCAGGAACGUGGCAUCAGCUGUAUCCAGUUCAAGCCCCAGCUGGUUAGGACUGGCUGGAGCCCUCAAGACCCUCCAGCUGGAGCUGAGUUGGAAACCCUGCCUUCAGAGCAUGCAGACGCUAGUUUUCUGAGGGACGUCUGAUGGUGAAGCCUGUAGCUUGGUGCCUGCACUAAACCAGGUUACCUCGCCGUUUCCUUCUCCGUAAGCUAGCUCUUCCACGCUCCCCAUGCCUCAGCUUUAUCCCGUCUAUUAAUCAAACCUUGAGUUGUUGUACGGAGACAGCCAUGCAAGACGAGAACUCAGAAACCAAGAACCUUCAGUCCAUGGAAUUGGAAGGAAAGAAACGUUGCCAUUGGCGCGCUUUACAAAGCGAGAGUUCUCUCAUCAAGGAAAACCUGGCUUUCAACAGCAGGAGUACGUUAUGUGGGAAACCUGACUAAACAGCAUCCAAGUUUAAAAUUCCACCAUCCCCUUAACUUUCACCACGAGCCCUGGAUCCUGGAUCUCGGAGUCAGAUUUGAGAACCUUGUGUGUCAAGCUUACAAAAAGGUUCUUUUUUCAAGAGUUGUAGCCAUAGAGAAGGCUUUUAUGCAAGUUGGGCAGGGAGCCUUUGCUUCAUCUCUCCCCAAAAGGGGACACCCCUGCCGCCUGUGGUCUCAUUUAAUUGUCUACUAGUCUUAGCACCGGCAUCAGCAGCCUCCUGGGAGGGGUCUUCCCUGGUGACCCAGUGGCUGAGACCCCAUCCUCCGCAGCGCAGAGGGCCCAGUUCCUUCCCUGGUCUGGGAACUGCAUCCCACGUGCCGCAACUACGAGUGCCCGCCGUAGCAAAAAACAAAGAACCUUCUUGGGAGGCACAGAGUUCCCACAACAUUUGGGCUAUCCUUCUAAAAGUUUUUUUUACAUUGUGGUGAAAUAUAAAUUUACUG
ensembl:lncRNA